UGGGGAAUAUUGGACAAUGGGCGAAAGCCUGAUCCAGCCAUGCCGCGUGUGUGAAGAAGGUCUUCGGAUUGUAAAGCACUUUAAGGUGGGAGGAAGGGCAGUAAGCGAAUACCUUGCUGUUUUGACGUUACCGACAGAAUAAGCACCGGCUAACUCUGUGCCAGCAGCCGCGGUAAUACAGAGGGUGCAAGCGUUAAUCGGAAUUACUGGGCGUAAAGCGCGCGUAGGUGGUUCGUUAAGUUGAAUGUGAAAGCCCCGGGCUCAACCUGGGAACUGCAUCCAAAACUGGCGGGCUGGAGUAGGGCAGAGGGUGGUGGAAUUUCCUGUGUAGCGGUGAAAUGCGUAGAUAUAGGAGGGAACACCAGUGGCGAAGGCGACCACCUGGGCUCAUACUGACACUGAGGUGCGAAAGCGUGGGGGGCAAACAGG
rnacentral:rRNA from 1 species